rnacentral:rRNA from 1 species
UACGGGGGGGGUAAGCGUUGUUCGGAAUUACUGGGCGUAAAGGGCUCGUAGGCGGCCAACUAAGUCGGACGUGAAAUCCCUCAGCUUAACUGGGGAACUGCGUCCGAUACUGGAUGGCUUGGAUUUGGGAGAGGGAUGCGGAAUUCCAGGUGUAGCAGUGAAAUGCGUAGAGAUGUGGAGGAAUACCGAUGGCGAAGGCAGCCCCCUGGGAUAACACUGACGCUCAUGCACGAAAGCGUGGGGAGCAAACAGG